GACGAACGCUGGCGGCGUGCUUAACACAUGCAAGUCGAACGGAAAGGCCUGCUUUCCCUUGUGGAUUGCGGGUACUCGAGUGGCGAACGGGUGAGUAACACGUGAGUGAUCUGCCCCCAACUUGGGUAUAAGCCUGGGAAACUGGGUCUAAUUCCCGAUAGGACUGCAGGGUGGUGCCUGUGGUGGAAAACGAUUUUCUAGUGGUUGGGGAUGAGCUCGCGGCCUAUCAGCUUGUUGGUGGGGUAAUGGCCUACCAAGGCGGCGACGGGUAGCCGGCCUGAGAGGGUGGACGGCCACAUUGGGACUGGGAUACGGCCCAGACUCCUACGGGAGGCAGCAGGGGGGAAUAUUGCACAAUGGGCGGAAGCCUGAUGCAGCGACGCAGCGUGGGGGAUGACGGCCUUCGGGUUGUAAACUCCUUUCGACCGCGAGGAAGCCACCUGGUUGGAAGGGUGGUGACGGUAGUGGUAGAAGAAGCACCGGCUAACUACGUG
rnacentral:rRNA from 1 species